rnacentral:rRNA from 1 species
CACGACUACAUUAGAUACCCCUGUAGUCCUAGGCGUAAAUGAUGCGAGUUAAGUGUGGGGGCAUCUACGAGAUGGCCCUGUGCUGUAGGGUAGCCGUUAAACUCGCUGCCUGGGAGUACGGUCGCAAGGCUGAAACUUAAAGGAAUUGGCGGGGGAGCACAACAACGGGUGGAGCUUGCGGUUUAAUUGGAUUCAACGCCGGAAAUCUUACCGGGACCGACAGCAACAUGAAGGCCAGGCUGAAGACUUUACCGGAUUAGCUG